rnacentral:lncRNA from 1 species
CGCAGUUUUGUAGUUAAGGGAACACAAUACUGUGUACUUACGUCAUAUAAAAAUGGCGUCUCGGGCCUGAGGUGAGCUUAGGUGACCAUGAUUUUCAUUGGGAGGAUUGCCUGAGGACACUAAGGCAAGCCAAUGGAGGCAGGAGUGCCCAGGGGAGUGCAGACACCUGUCUUCAAAAUCAACACUAUCAAGUUUCUUCUCAGAUUAUGGAUAUACUGCAAGGCACAGAUGACUGAUAAACUGUCUCGCUUCUUAGGAGGGAAAACACAUUGAAGUCUUAAUCCACAUCAGUCUCUGAAGGUGGUCCUGGGCCCUUAUAUUAUUUGGUUUGGCCCACUCAAAGUUUAAAAUAUUAAAUUAGUUGUCAAAUUUUUGCAAUAUUAAAAGAUUUAACCUACAAAUUGGAAUUUCCUUCUUCUACUCAGUCGGUAACUCAACCCUCUUGAAGGCAAGACAAGGAUCUGCUGGAGUCGAGUGGAGACUGCCCGUCUAGACAGGACACACACUCUCCAGUUAACCACAUCCGUGCCACCCUUACAUCCAGCCAUCUUCACCCAUUCCAGCCAC